GACGAACGCUGGCGGCGGGCUUAACACAUGCAAGUCGAACGGAAAGGCCCUGCUUUUGUGGGGUGCUCGAGUGGCGAACGGGUGAGUAACACGUGAGUAACCUGCCCUUGACUUUGGGACAACUUCAGGAAACUGGGGCUAAUACCGGAUAGGAGCUCCUGCUGCAUGGUGGGGGUCGGAAAGUUUCGGCGGUUGGGGAUGGACUCGCGGCUUAUCAGCUUGUUGGUUGGGUAGUGGCUUACCAAGGCUUCGACGGGUCGCCCGCCUGAGAGGGUGGACGGCCACCUUGGGCCUGCGGUACGGACCAGUCUGCUACAGGGGGCAGCAGGGGAGAAUAUUGCACAACGGGGGGGAGCGUGUUGAGAAAACGCCCCGAGCGGGAUGAAGGCCUUCGGGUUGUAAACCGCUUUCGCCUGUGACGAAGCGUGAGUGACGGUAAUGGGUGAAGAAGCACCGGCUAACUACGUG
rnacentral:rRNA from 1 species